rnacentral:rRNA from 1 species
CCUACGGGUGGCAGCAGUGAGGAAUAUUGGUCAAUGGGCGCGAGCCUGAACCAGCCAAGUCGCGUGAAGGAUGACUGCCCUACGGGUUGUAAACUUCUUUUAUCAAGGAAUAAAGUGAGGCACGUGAGCCUUUUUGAAUGUAUUUUAUGAAUAAGGAUCGGCUAACUCCGUGCCAGCAGCCGCGGUAAUACGGAGGAUCCGAGCGUUAUCCGGAUUUAUUGGGUUUAAAGGGAGCGUAGAUGGGUUGUUAAGUCAGUUGUGAAAGUUUGCGGCUCAACCGUAAACUUGCAAUUGAUACUGGCAGCCUUGAGUACGGGUGAGGUAGGCGGAAUGCGUGGUGUAGCGGUGAAAUGCUUAGAUAUCACGAAGAACUCCGAUUGCGAAGGCAGCCUACUAGCCCGCAACUGACACUGAUGCACGAAAGUGUGGGUAUCAAACAGGAUUAGAUACCCUAGUAGUC